rnacentral:rRNA from 1 species
CUACGGGAUGCAGCAGUGAGGAAUAUUGCACAAUGGGGGGAACCCUGAUGCAGCAACGCCGCGUGGAGGAUGACGCAUUUCGGUGUGUAAACUCCUUUUAUAUGUCAAGAAAAUGACGGUAGCAUAUGAAUAAGCACCGGCUAACUCCGUGCCAGCAGCCGCGGUAAUACGGAGGGUGCAAGCGUUACUCGGAAUCACUGGGCGUAAAGGACGCGUAGGCGGGUUGGAAAGUCAGGUGUGAAAUCCUACAGCUUAACUGUAGAACUGCACUUGAAACUUCUAAUUUAGAGUAUGGGAGGGGGAGAUGGAAUUAGUGGUGUAGGGGUAAAAUCCGUAGAUAUCACUAGGAAUACCUAAAGCGAAGGCGAUCUUCUGGAACAGUACUGACGCUGAGGCGCGAAAGCGUGGGGAGCAAACAGGAUUAGAUACCCGGGUAGUC